rnacentral:rRNA from 1 species
UGAGUACGAGAUGCUACGGCAUCGAAGCAGUCUAUGUCAUACUUCCAAGAAAAGCUUGCAAUGUCAUAAACAAAUAAUGCCUGUACCAUAACCGACACAGGUGGGUAGGUAGAGUAUACUAAGGGGCGCGAGAUAACUCUCUCUAAGGAACUCGGCAAAAUGACUCCGUAACUUCGGGAGAAGGAGUGCCUUAUUUUUAUAAGGUUGCAAUAACAAGAUCCAAGCAACUGUUUACCAAAAACACAGGUCUCCGCUAAGUCGUAAGACGAUGUAUGGGGGCUGACGCCUGCCCAGUGCCAGAAGGUUAAAGAAGUUGGUUAGCAUUAGCGAAGCUGAUAACUGGAGCCCUGGUGAACGGCGGCCGUAACUAUAACGGUCCUAAGGUAGCGAAAUUCCUUGUCGGGUAAGUUCCGACCCGCACGAAAGGCGUAAUGAUUUGGAUACUGUCUCGGAGAGGGGCUCGGUGAAAUAGACUUGUCUGUGAAGAUGCGGACUACCUGCACCUGGACAGAAAGACCCUAUGAAGCUUUACUGUAACUUGAGAUUGAAAUUGGACUUUAUCUGCGCAGUAUAGGUGGGAGACGUUGAAAAUAUUCUUGCGGGAAUAUUGGAGUCAUCAGUGAGAUACCACUCUUAUAAUGUUAGAUUUCUAACUUUGUAUCAUUAUCUGGUCAAAGAACGGUUUCAGGCGGGCAGUUUGACUGGGGCGGUCGCCUCCCAAACGGUAACGGAGGCGCACAAAGGUUUCCUCUGAACGUGUAGAAAUCGUAUCUAGAGUGUAAAGGCAUAAGGAAGCUUGACUGUGAGACCUACAAGUCGAGCAGGGACGAAAGUCGGUCUUAGUGAUCUGACGGUGCUGAGUGGAAAGGCCGUCACUCAACGGAUAAAAGUUACUCUAAGGAUAACAGGCUGAUCUCCCCCAAGAGUUCACAUCGACGGGGAGGUUUGGCACCUCGAUGUCGGCUCAUCGCAUCCUGGGGCGGUAGUACGUCCCAAGGGUUGGGCUGUUCGCCCAUGAAAGCGGUACGCGAGCUGGGUUCAGAACGUCGUGAGACAGUUCGGUCCAUAUCCGGUGUAGGCGUUAGAAUAUUGAGAGGAGCCUUCUUUAGUACGAGAGGACCGAGAAGGACAUACCUCUGGUGUACCAGUUAUCGUGCCAACGGUAAACGCUGGGUAGCCAUGUAUGGAGAGGAUAACCGCUGAAAGCAUCUAAGUGGGAAGCCCACCUCAAGAUAAG